rnacentral:rRNA from 1 species
GCAUAAUAAAUAGUUUUUUAAUUGAAAACUGGAAUGAAGGGUAGAUACUUAAUGGAAUGUUUUAUUUAAUGAGUUUGAAUUUAAAUUAAAAGUAAAAAUGCUUUUAUUAAUUCUUAGGACGAGAAGACCCUAGAAGCUUAUAAAGGGAACUUUUUUAGUUGGGGCAACAUUUGAAGAGAUUAAUUUUUAAAUAGAAUAAUAAAAAUAUAUUAUUUGGAAGUUACUCUAGGGAUAACAGCGUUAUUUAAUUGGCGAGUUCUUAUUAAUAAUUAAGGUUGCGACCUCGAUGUUGAAUUAAAU